GCCAUACCUCAGUGGUAGAGCACCUGCUUCCUAUGCAGAAGGCCGCAGAUUCAAUCCCUGGAAUCUCCA